ACGGAGGGGGCUAGCGUUGUUCGGAAUUACUGGGCGUAAAGCGCACGUAGGCGGACUGGAAAGUUGGGGGUGAAAUCCCGGGGCUCAACCUCGGAACUGCCUUCAAAACUAUCAGUCUGGAGUUCGAGAGAGGUGAGUGGAAUUCCGAGUGUAGAGGUGAAAUUCGUAGAUAUUCGGAGGAACACCAGUGGCGAAGGCGGCUCACUGGCUCGAUACUGACGCUGAGGUGCGAAAGCGUGGGGAGCAAACAG
rnacentral:rRNA from 1 species